UACGUAGGGGGCAAGCGUUAUCCGGAAUUACUGGGUGUAAAGGGUGCGUAGGCGGCAAGAUAAGUCAGGUGUGAAAUUCCCGUGCUUAACAUGGGAGCUGCACUUGAAACUGUUUAGCUAGAGUACAGGAGAGGUAAGUGGAAUUCCUAGUGUAGCGGUGAAAUGCGUAGAUAUUAGGAGGAACACCAGUGGCGAAGGCGACUUACUGGACUGUAACUGACGCUGAUGCACGAAAGCGUGGGGAGCGAACAGG
rnacentral:rRNA from 1 species